rnacentral:rRNA from 1 species
GAUGAACGCUGGCGGCGUGCCUAAUACUUGCAAGUCGAGCGAACAGAUAAGGAGCUUGCUCCUUUGACGUUAGCGGCGGACGGGUGAGUAACACGUGGGUAACCUACCUAUAAGACUGGGAUAACUUCGGGAAACCGGAGCUAAUACCGGAUAAUAUUUCGAACCGCAUGGUUCGAUAGUGAAAGAUGGUUUUGCUAUCACUUAUAGAUGGACCCGCGCCGUAUUAGCUAGUUGGUAAGGUAACGGCUUACCAAGGCGACGAUACGUAGCCGACGUGAGAGGGUGAUCGGCCACACUGGAACUUAGACACGGUCCAGACUCCUACGGGAGGCAGCAGUAGGGAAUCUGCCGCAAAGGGCGAAAGCCUGACGGAGCAACGCCGCGUGAGUGAUGAAGGUCUUCGGAUCGUAAAACUCUGUUAUUAGGGAAGAACAUACGUGUAAGUAACUGUGCACGUCUUGACGGUACCUAAUCAGAAAGCCACGGCUAACUACGUG